rnacentral:rRNA from 1 species
UACAGAGGUCCCCGAGCGUUGUUCGGAUUCAUUGGGCGUAAAGGGUGCGUAGGCGGUCUGCUAAGUUUGAUGUGAAAUCCCGGGGCUCAACCCUGGAAUGGCAUUGAAUACUGGUGGACUAGAGUACUGGAGAGGAAACUGGAAUUUACGGUGUAGCAGUGAAAUGCGUAGAGAUCGUAAGGAAGACCAGUGGCGAAGGCGAGUUUCUGGACAGUAACUGACGCUGAGGCAGCGAAAGGCCCAGGGGGAGCAAAACGGGG